GCCUUGUUGGCGCAGUUAGGCAGCGCGUCAGAUUCAUAAUCUGAAGGUCGUGAGUUCGAGCAUCACACGGGGCA